CCCUGCCAUUUGUACACACCGCCCGUCGCUGCUACCGAUUGAAUGGUUUAGUGAGUCCCACAGACCGAUGGCGGCGGUGGCUUCGGCUGCUGCCGUUGUGGGGAAGUGGUUCAAACUUGACUAUUUAGAGGAAGCAAAAGUCGUAACAAGGU
rnacentral:rRNA from 1 species